ACUCUGGGAUAAGCGUUGGAAACGACGUCUAAUACUGGAUAUGAUCGCCGGCCGCAUGGUCUGGUGGUGGAAAGAUUUUUUGGUUGGGGAUGGACUCGCGGCCUAUCAGCUUGUUGGUGAGGUAAUGGCUCACCAAGGCGACGACGGGUAGCCGGCCUGAGAGGGUGACCGGCCACACUGGGACUGAGACACGGCCCAGACUCCUACGGGAGGCAGCAGUGGGGAAUAUUGCACAAUGGGCGAAAGCCUGAUGCAGCAACGCCGCGUGAGGGAUGACGGCCUUCGGGUUGUAAACCUCUUUUAGUAGGGAAGAAGCGAAAGUGACGGUACCUGCAGAAAAAGCACCGGCUAACUACGUGCCAGCAGCCGCGGUAAUACGUAGGGUGCAAGCGUUGUCCGGAAUUAUUGGGCGUAAAGAGCUCGUAGGCGGUUUGUCGCGUCUGCUGUGAAAUCCCGAGGCUCAACCUCGGGCUUGCAGUGGGUACGGGCAGACUAGAGUGCGGUAGGGGAGAUUGGAAUUCCUGGUGUAGCGGUGGAAUGCGCAGAUAUCAGGAGGAACACCGAUGGCGAAGGCAGAUCUCUGGGCCGUAACUGACGCUGAGGAGCGAAAGCAUGGGGAGCGAACAGGAUUAGAUACNCUGGUAGUCCAUGCCGUAAACGUUGGGCGCUAGAUGUAGGGACCUUUCCACGGUUUCUGUGUCGUAGCUAACGCAUUAAGCGCCCNCGCCUGGGGAGUACNG
rnacentral:rRNA from 1 species